CCCCCCCCCCGAUACAAAAUCUGCCCCGUGAACGUGUGUAUUGACGCCUCUACACAGCCAAAACCCCCCUCCAGCUUUCAGUCUGAGGAAGAUGUCACCUUCUCUGACCUGGUCCCCGACCAUUCUUCCCACUUCUCACCUGCCAGUCCGCCCCACUCUCAGUGGUCCUCUCACUUCACCUUUGCUGACUUUCCCAUGUCCCCAGGAUGCACACCAUUUUCUUCCCCCCACCACUCUCCUCAAGAUUACGCACCCACCAGUCCUGUGAAUUAUCAAUAAAACUACAUAUUACUCAUACUAAGUGUCCCUCAUGUUUAUUUCAUGUCAUUUUUAUCCACAACACAGCCCACUUGAAGUACAUCGACAAUGUCUCGAGAGUCCUUGAAUGGAUGAAAUCAUUGUGCCAGCGGUACAAGGUCACUCCGGCCAAGUUAUUUCUGACGCGUGUUUCCAAGUUCCUCCAUUAACUCGAUGAGUAACUGUCCAAGGGCCGAGUUGGCUCCACGAGGCUGUGGAGUCUCCAGAGACUGCUGCAGUGGGAGUGCAGACAUCUGUCCGGUCGAGUCGUGCUCCACAGGCAAGGCGUGCGAGCGGAGAAGAGUGAGGGAGUACUUACAGCUCCUGCACGGCAAACUGUUGGACGCUGUCCCUGUUUCACUGGCUGAUCUGAACUCGUCCAGCAGACCCGGACAUGCUCAACCAUUGCAUCGGGCUGCUGUGUGCUCACUUCUUUUCGGUCAGCGGACACAGGACCGGAGUCCUGCAGAACCUCACGACUGAGGAGUUUGAGAACCUCGAGAAGGCUGACUCUUUCUGAUCAAUGUGAAGCAGCACAAACCUGCCUCUGCUUUUGGACUCGCUAAGCUAGCCAUCACCAAGCUGGAGCUGAAGUGGCUGAAAGCUUUCUGCCGCCUGAGGAAGCAUAUGCCGGGAUAUGAGACUUCUGUGGGGUGGCUUUUCUUUUCUGGCACACAGGCCAGGAUUUCUGCGCAUGUCAAGCUUGCCCUGUGGGCACUCGUGGGAAGAGACAUCACUGUGUCGGACAUCCGCACAGCUCUAGCAACCUACUGCGAACGCAAAAGACGAACAACGCAUGCUCGUGACCAAGACGAUGUGCUACAGCAAUUAGCUGAGUCGUGGAGCUGUCGGUCAGCGAGGCGCACUCCGCCCAGUCUGCGCUAGAGUCCGCUGCGGGCAUAGGUGCUACAUAGGCCGGUUGUUUUUGGCUAAUGGCCCUGUGUGUGUGUGUGUGUGUGUGUGUGUGUGUGUGUGUGUGUGUGUGUGUGUAAAUAUUUCAUUAAAAUGUUUGAACUGAAUUCCCCUUGUCAAAAGUACAGUAGCAUCACUCAUGGCGAGACCACACAACCGAAAUUUCCGAAAGUACAUGGACUGAGCUCCGGGCGAAGUUCGCAGGCUUUGCCCAGGGAGAGAGCGUCAAUUAGCUGAAUUUUUUCCUCGUUGAUUUCAAUGGUUUAUGCGUUCCUAGUCAGGGCAAGCUACUGUUUGUUGCACCUCUUCCAUCCUCCUCCACGGUCUGAAGCCAGCUGCAGCCACCUUUUCAUCAGCGUCACAAUCUCAGCACUUGUUGCCCUUGAUGUUAACGGGUUCUUUCGGACAGCAUCUAAUGAACAUGAGGCAAAACAGUUGACAACUUCUGCAAUUCGAGACACGCUAAAAAGGCUAUUUAUACUUCUACGUCAGACCUUUGCGUUGCCUGAUGUGCACCUCUAAAAAAAACUGUAAUGACGCGUCGUGUGUAUGCAGACAACAGUUGUGAUUGGUCCUUUGUGCAAACAGAGACCCUCCCCAGGAUG